UCGAGAAUCUUCGGCAAUGAGCGCAAGCUUGACCGAGCGACGCCGCGUGCGGGAUGAAGGCCUUCGGGUUGUAAACCGCUGUCGUAGGGGAGGAAGGCUCCGUGAAGAACGGGGUUUGACCUAUCCUAGGAGGAAGGACGGGCUAAGUUCGUGCCAGCAGCCGCGGUAAUACGAACCGUCCAAACGUUAUUCGGAAUUACUGGGCUUAAAGGGUAUGUAGGCGGCGCUGUUAGUCGGGUGUGAAAGCCCUCGGCUCAACCGAGGAAUUGCGCCCGAUACUGCAGUGCUUGAGGGAGACAGAGGUAAGCGGAACUGAUGGUGGAGCGGUGAAAUGCGUUGAUAUCAUCAGGAACACCGGUGGCGAAAGCGGCUUACUGGGUCUCUUCUGACGCUGAGAUACGAAAGCUAGGGGAGCGAAGGGGAUUAGAUACCCCCGUAGUCCUAGCUGUAACGUUGAGCACUUGAUCGGGGACCCCCCAUAGGUUCUCGGUCGUAGCGAAGUGUUAAGUGCUCCGCCG
rnacentral:rRNA from 1 species